rnacentral:tRNA from 1 species
UGGCAUAACGGUUAAGCAUUUGGCUGCUAACUAAAAGGUUGGUAGUUCGAAUCCACC